rnacentral:RNase_P_RNA from 1 species
AAGCAAACCGGUUCUAUCGCUGUUCUGCCUUGGCAGGAAAGAGGAAAGUCCGGGCAACAUAGAGCAACACGCUUCCUAACGGGAAGGAUACCUUCGGGUAGACAGAAAGUGCCACAGAAAAUAUACCGCCUUGCGCUUGUCGAAGGGUAAGGGUGAAAACGUGAGGUAAGAGCUCACGGUCUUGUAUGGUGACAUGCAUUACGGUAAACCUCGUGUGUUGAAAGACCAAAUAGGUUGCGAAAUUCGAAAGCUGCUCGUUUUCUCCCGACUUGUCGGGGUUCGCAAUGGGUAGGUUGAUACAGCUUGUGUGCGAAUACAAGCGUAGAUAAAUGAUAGAAAUCCACUUGUUUAACAGGAGGGUACAGAACCCGGCUUACAAGGUUUGCUUCUUU